AAGUAGGGGAUCUUCGGACCUUACGUUAUAAGAGCGGCCGAUAUCUGAUUAGCUGGUUGGUGGGGUAAUGGCCUACCAAGGCGACGAUCAGUAGCUGGUCUGAGAGGACGACCAGCCACACUGGAACUGAGACACGGUCCAGACUCCUACGGGAGGCAGCAGUGGGGAAUUUUGGACAAUGGGCGAAAGCCUGAUCCAGCCAUUCCGCGUGAGUGAAGAAGGCCUUCGGGUUGUAAAGCUCUUUCGCAAGGGAAGAAAACUUACAUUCUAAUAAAGUGUGAGGCUGACGGUACCUUGAUAAGAAGCACCGGCUAACUACGUGCCAGCAGCCGCGGUAAUACGUAGGGUGCGAGCGUUAAUCGGAAUUACUGGGCGUAAAGCGUGCGCAGGCGGUUUGGCAAGUCAGAUGUGAAAUCCCCGAGCUCAACUUGGGAACUGCGUUUGAAACUGCCAGACUAGAAUAUGUCAGAGGGGGGUAGAAUUCCACGUGUAGCAGUGAAAUGCGUAGAGAUGUGGAGGAAUACCAAUGGCGAAGGCAGCCCCCUGGGAUAAUAUUGACGCUCAUGCACGAAAGCGUGGGGAGCAAACAGGAUUAGAUACCCUGGUAGUCCACGCCCUAAACGAUGUCUACUAGUUGUUGGUGGAGUAAAAUCCAUGAGUAACGCAGCUAACGCGUGAAGUAGACCGC
rnacentral:rRNA from 1 species